UGGGUUGUAGCUUGGUGGUAGAGUGCUUGCCUUGCACGCAUGAGGCACUGGAUUCGAUCCUCAGCACCACAU
rnacentral:tRNA from 1 species